UAGGCGAACGGCUGAGUAACACGUGGGCAACCUGCCCCUCUCAUUGGGAUAGCCACGGGAAACCGUGGAUAAUACCGAAUACUUCGAGUCUCCCGCAUGGAAGAACUCGAGAAAGCUCCGGCGGAGAGGGAUGGGCCCGCGGCCUGUUAGCUUGUUGGUGGGGUAACGGCCUACCAAGGCAAUGAUGGGUAGCUGGGUUGAGAGACCGACCAGCCAGAUUGGGACUGAGACACGGCCCAG
rnacentral:rRNA from 1 species